rnacentral:rRNA from 1 species
UUGAACGCUGGCGGCAGGCCUAACACAUGCAAGUCGAACGGUAACAGGAAGCAGCUUGCUGCUUUGCUGACGAGUGGCGGACGGGUGAGUAAUGUCUGGGAAACUGCCUGAUGGAGGGGGAUAACUACUGGAAACGGUAGCUAAUACCGCAUAACGUCGCAAGACCAAAGAGGGGGACCUUCGGGCCUCUUGCCAUCGGAUGUGCCCAGAUGGGAUUAGCUUGUUGGUGGGGUAACGGCUCACCAAGGCGACGAUCCCUAGCUGGUCUGAGAGGAUGACCAGCCACACUGGAACUGAGACACGGUCCAGACUCCUACGGGAGGCAGCAGUGGGGAAUAUUGCACAAUGGGCGCAAGCCUGAUGCAGCCAUGCCGCGUGUAUGAAGAAGGCCUUCGGGUUGUAAAGUACUUUCAGCGGGGAGGAAGGGAGUAAAGUUAAUACCUUUACUCAUUGACGUUACCCGCAGAAGAAGCACCGGCUAACUCCGUGCCAGCAGCCGCGGUAAUACGGAGGGUGCAAGCGUUAAUCGGAAUUACUGGGCGUAAAGCGCACGCAGGCGGUUUGUUAAGUCAGAUGUGAAAUCCCCGGGCUCAACCUGGGAACUGCAUCUGAUACUGGCAAGCUUGAGUCUCGUAGAGGGGGGUAGAAUUCCAGGUGUAGCGGUGAAAUGCGUAGAGAUCUGGAGGAAUACCGGUGGCGAAGGCGGCCCCCUGGACGAAGACUGACGCUCAGGUGCGAAAGCGUGGGGAGCAAACAGGAUUAGAUACCCUGGUAGUCCACGCCGUAAACGAUGUCGACUUGGAGGUUGUGCCCUUGAGGCGUGGCUUCCGGAGCUAACGCGUUAAGUCGACCGCCUGGGGAGUACGGCCGCAAGGUUAAAACUCAAAUGAAUUGACGGGGGCCCGCACAAGCGGUGGAGCAUGUGGUUUAAUUCGAUGCAACGCGAAGAACCUUACCUGGUCUUGACAUCCACAGAACUUUCCAGAGAUGGAUUGGUGCCUUCGGGAACUGUGAGACAGGUGCUGCAUGGCUGUCGUCAGCUCGUGUUGUGAAAUGUUGGGUUAAGUCCCGCAACGAGCGCAACCCUUAUCCUUUGUUGCCAGCGGUCCGGCCGGGAACUCAAAGGAGACUGCCAGUGAUAAACUGGAGGAAGGUGGGGAUGACGUCAAAUCAUCAUGCCCCUUAUGACUUGGGCUACACACGUGCUACAAUGGCGCAUACAAAGAGAAGCGACCUCGCGAGAGCAAGCGGACCUCAUAAAGUGCGUCGUAGUCCGGAUUGGAGUCUGCAACUCGACUCCAUGAAGUCGGAAUCGCUAGUAAUCGUGGAUCAGAAUGCCACGGUGAAUACGUUCCCGGGCCUUGUACACACCGCCCGUCACACCAUGAGAGUUGGGAAUACCCGAAGCCUGUGAGCUAACUUUUAGAGGCAGCAGUCGAAGGUAGAAUCAAUGAUUGGGGUG